CGCGCAGACCGCCUUAUCGUCGUUCCGUUUAUCGGGAGGGAGGAAAGUCCGGACACCACAGAGAAGCAUAGCGGGUAACACCCGUCGGUCUUAGCAAUAAGGCAAGGACAAGUGCAACAGAAAGUAUGUACAGGUAAUGCUGUAGUGAAACCAGGUAAACUCUAUGCGGUGAAAUACCAAGUAUAUCAGCAUUUAAGAGCUUCUCGUUCGUUGCUGAAGGGUAGGUAGCUUGAGUUCCGAAGUAAUUCGGAAUCUAGAUAAAUGAUAAGGUAUUGUUUCGUUUCGGCGGGACAAGAACAGAAUCCGGCUUACAGGUCUGCAUUUUUU
rnacentral:RNase_P_RNA from 1 species